rnacentral:sRNA from 1 species
AACAGCACAAAGCUGUGCGUUUGCGAAAACGGGAGCACCUAGAAACAAAAACAAAACGUUUUGGCUGACAAUGCACAACACAAAAAUACAAAUGAAACGAGCAUGCCCCACAAGCCAUUAGUAGUACUGGGUAUGCGAGCCGAAAUAAAUAUAAAUUCGUAUAGGCCUUAUAGAGUGGGAUGACUGUCGGAGUGUCUAUUUAGAGACAGACUGUCAUUAUUUAUGGAAUUAAAAUGUCCAAACUCCAAUACGCGUAUGGGAUGUUCCGAUGUACAACUCUGAUCAAAGAAUAUCUUUGCAUAAAACCGUCAUCCCUCACGAUUAA